UACGUAGGGGCCGAGCGUUGUCCGGAGUUAUUGGGCGUAAAGCGCGCGCAGGCGGCUAUUUAAGUCUGGUGUUUAAACCUUGGGCUCAACCUGAGGUCGCACUGGAAACUGGGUGGCUUGAGUACAGAAGAGGAAAGUGGAAUUCCACGUGUAGCGGUGAAAUGCGUAGAUAGUGUGGAGGAACACCAGUGGCGAAGGCGACUUUCUGGGCUGUAACUGACGCUGAGACACGAAAGCGUGGGGAGCAAACAGG
rnacentral:rRNA from 1 species